GGGUCAGUAGGUUGGUCGUGCCACCGGUACGUACUGGUCUCACCGAUUCCUCCUUCCUGAAGAACCGUAAUGCCAUCAAUUUGGUGUUGCGGGGAAACAGGACUGUUACUUUGAAAAAAUUAGAGUGUUUAAAGCAAGCUAACGCUUGAAUACAUUAGCAUGGAAUAAUGAAAUAGGACGAUCGAUCCUAUUUUGUUGGUUUCUAGGAUUGACGUA
rnacentral:rRNA from 1 species